ensembl:lncRNA
GAUGCAAUUGUAACGCUACGGAACAAUAUCCUCCUUCCUCAAGCUCAGUCUGGGAUAUACAAGUGUCUGAUCACCAUUUCUAGAAGGCACCAUCCGGUGUACUGAAGAGAAAGUAAAAAAUGUGCGAUGUACCUAUCAAAACACGCUACAUCUUUCUACGCUUGUUGAGAUGUCAAUCAACACUGUGAGGCAUGGGAGAUUCGCCACACGUGAGCGCCCACUGUCUGUCAUUAGAAGGCUCACCGUCCCAGCCUCCCUGGCAGCUCUCAUACAGCAAAACUCAGACACCCACUGCGGACCCUGAGAUUCCUGCAGGCGCCCCGCGGAGUGCACUCCCGUGAGUGGAGGGGAGCCCCGUCCAGGUUCUGGAGGCAGCAGCUGCAGAGGCGUUCGGGCGCUGUCCAGAGCCCACCGCAGGGCCAAGCAAGGGGGCCGGCUUCAGGGGCCUGAGGCUGCAGGGCACGUCUGUCCCCGAGCAGGUCUGCAUGGCCGCAGGCGAGCUUCCUGGCUGGGCUGCCUCCAGCCCGCUUCUCAGUCCCUCAUGGACAUUCUCUCACUAUAAACUAUCCUUUUCCACUCAAGACAGCCAGAGAUGGUUUCUGUUGCAACUCCGAGUCCUGACCUUGGGAUGGCUGCUUUUGAGGAGUGGUGAGAGAGGAGGCUGCGUGAGGCCCUUGUGAUACUCCGACUCUGCCUCGGCGCUCAGGGUGUCCACAUAAACAGACGCACUGUUCUCCCACCUGCCCCGCCGCCAGGGGUGGCCACUAGCAGUUCUAGUAGGGAAGACUGAGCCAGCCUUUCUGCUAAACUUGUUUUCUUUCCGACCUUCCCCCUUUUGUCCCUCUGCCGUUUUUAUUCUUCUCACCUGGAA